rnacentral:rRNA from 1 species
UUGGAGGGCAAGUCUGGUGCCAGCAGCCGCGGUAAUUCCAGCUCCAAUAGCGUAUAUUAAAGUUGUUGCAGUUAAAAAGCUCGUAGUUGAAUUUCGGGAUUCGUCGGUUGGUCGGGCUUCACUGUCCGCACUGACCUGACGGGUUCCUACCUUCUGAAUAACCAGCAUGCUAUUAAGUUAGUGCGUUGGGGAAGCAGAGCUAUUACCUUGAAAAAAUUAGAGUGCUUAAAGCAGGCUUGUGCUUGAAUAGAUUAGCAUGGAAUAAUAAAAUAGGACGGCAUGGUUCUAUUUUGUUGGUUUCUAGGAUCACCGUAAUGAUUAAUAGGGAUAGCUGGGGGCAUUAGUAUUCAAUUGUCAGAGGUGAAAUUCUUGGAUUUAUUGAAGACUAACUUCUGCGAAAGCAUUUGCCAAGGAUGUUUUCAUUAAUCAAGAACGAAAGUUAGGGGAUCGAAGACGAUCAGAUACCGUCGUAGUCUUAACCAUAAACUAUGCCGACUAGGGAUCGGACGAUGUUAAUUUUUUAAUGACUCGUUCGGCGCCUUACGGGAAAC